AGAAUGUUAUGGUGUGGAGGGAGAGUUAGAAUGUUGCAGAUCCAGAGCUAAAUUAUCCUGGGCGGCCUUCAGUUUCUUUAAUAGACACUUUUGUGUCUGACCUAACAUCUUUGCAACUGUAAGGCAAACCCUUUUGAAUAGUAGUAUGGUUGCUUGAUCCAGUAAUCCCAGCACGUGAAGGGUGGAAGCAAGAACUUCAGGAGCUCAAGGUCAUUGUCCAUCACAGAGUGAGUGCAGUACCAGCCUGGGAUACCUGAGACCCUGCCUCAAAACAGAAGCCACCCAAUCAACCAAAUAAGGGAACAAACUCUUUUAGCAAACCACUGGCAUCCAGCUACUCAAAAGCUAAGAACAGUAUGGGGAGGAUAACAUCUGAAACCUGUACCAGAGAUCCCCUUACUUUGCUGAAUCCCCCAGACCUGAGGCUUCCACCAAUGUAUUUGAAAAUGUCCUGGCUUAUGAUUUUUCUUAGGUCGGAAACUCCGUGAAAUGGUUCCCGAGUUGGGAUAUGCUACUUGAGACAACCUAAACUUGUGCUCGGCGGCAGGGUCACGCAUAUUUGGCCCAGGAAUAAACUCUUCUUUUGAUAUGUUUUGUAU
rnacentral:lncRNA from 1 species